rnacentral:misc_RNA from 1 species
GGCAAUACAAGAAUCUACAAGGGUAUUUUACUUUCCACAUUGACUAUUAUUGCAUGUACUCAAGUUGACUAAGUUUCUUUUUGUCACCUAUGUUUUUUGGUUUGAAAGCUUUUGCUUUAUCAAUUUCUUGUCAAUAUGGUUUCUUGCAAUAAUUGACUGGCUGGUGUAAGAGGUGCAUAAUUUUCAUGUUUCCUAUUCUACCGAUUUGAUCGCCUACACUAAUCAUGUCCGUCUUUGUUUUGUUCUUGAUAGCAACAGCCUUCUUUAUUAGUUUUCUCAAAACUAUGUGAGGUGGGCUAAGGGCUGAAUCAGACAUUUUAAUAACCAUCUUCAUUGUAAUGUUUGACUUUUGUAGGUUAGUCAGGAUAUG